CCUAGGUGGGAUUAGCUAGUUGGUGAGGUAAGGGCUCACCAAGGCGACGAUCCCUAGCUGGUCUGAGAGGAUGAUCAGCCACACUGGAACUGAGACACGGUCCAGACUCCUACGGGAGGCAGCAGUGGGGAAUAUUGCACAAUGGGCGCAAGCCUGAUGCAGCCAUGCCGCGUGUGUGAAGAAGGCCUUCGGGUUGUAAAGCACUUUCAGUCGUGAGGAAGGUAGUGUAGUUAAUAGCUGCAUUAUUUGACGUUAGCGACAGAAGAAGCACCGGCUAACUCCGUGCCAGCAGCCGCGGUAAUACGGAGGGUGCGAGCGUUAAUCGGAAUUACUGGGCGUAAAGCGCAUGCAGGUGGUUUGUUAAGUCAGAUGUGAAAGCCCGGGGCUCAACCUCGGAAUAGCAUUUGAAACUGGCAGACUAGAGUACUGUAGAGGGGGGUAGAAUUUCAGGUGUAGCGGUGAAAUGCGUAGAGAUCUGAAGGAAUACCGGUGGCGAAGGCGGCCCCCUGGACAGAUACUGACACUCAGAUGCGAAAGCGUGGGGAGCAAACAGGAUUAGAUACCCUGGUAGUCCACGCCGUAAACGAUGUCUACUUGGAGGUUGUGGCCUUGAGCCGUGGCUUUCGGAGCUAACGCGUUAAGUAGACCGCCUGGGGAGUACGGUCGCAAGAUUAAAACUCAAAUGAAUUGACGGGGGCCCGCACAAGCGGUGGAGCAUGUGGUUUAAUUCGAUGCAACGCGAAGAACCUUACCUACUCUUGACAUCCAGAGAACUUUCCAGAGAUGGAUUGGUGCCUUCGGGAACUCUGAGACAG
rnacentral:rRNA from 1 species